rnacentral:rRNA from 1 species
ACGCUCGACACCUACGGAGGCAGCAGUGGGGAAUAUUGCACAAUGGGGGAAACCCUGAUGCAGCGACGCCGCGUGGAGGAAGAAGGUCUUCGGAUUGUAAACUCCUGUUGUUGGGGAAAAAGAGGAUGGUACCCAACAAGGAAGUGACGGCUAACUACGUGCCGGACAGCCGCGGUAAUCUGAGCGGGCUGGCAAGGC